rnacentral:rRNA from 1 species
GACGAACGCUGGCAGCGUGCUUAACACAUGCAAGUCGAACGGAAAGGCCUCUUUCGGGGGGUACUCGAGUGGCGAACGGGUGAGUAACACGUGAGUAACCUGCCCUUGACUUUGGGAUAACUUCAGGAAACUGGGGCUAAUACCGGAUAGGAGCUCCUGCUGCAUGGUGGGGGUUGGACAGUUUCGGCGGUUGGGGAUGGACUCGCGGCUUAUCAGCUUGUUGGUGGGGUAGUGGCUUACCAAGGCUUUGACGGGUAGCCGGCCUGAGAGGGUGACCGGCGACAUUGGGACUGAGAUACGGCCCAGACGCCGACGGGAGGCAGCAGUGGGGAAGAUUGCACAAGGGGUGGAGGCCUGAUGCAGCAACGCCGUGUGCGGGAUGACGGCCUUCGGGUUGUAAACCGCUUUCGCUCAUGACGAAGCUUUGUGUGACGGUAGUGGGUAAAGAAGCACCGGCUAACUACGUG